CGCCCCUCCCCACCCCGAUGGCCGGAUGGCCCGACCUGCGCCUCCUCCCCCAACCCUAAUCCCUCCUCUUCCCCUCUCACGCGCCGCCGCCGAUAAUCCGCCAUCGCCGCCCAUGCUGAUAAUCGCCAUCGCUGCCCACGCUGCACCUCGCCCUUCGCCUCCCCGGCGGCACCACCCUCGGCACCGUCGAUUAAUCCCUCUAUCCCCCUCACGCGCCGCCGCCGAUCUUCACCGUCGCGCCGCCGACGCCCUUCACCUCUCCGCCGACACCGCCCACUCCUCCGCCCCGACGCAGCCCGCGCCUCCGCGCAUCGCCCUUCGCCUCGCCAUCACCGCCGCCGUCGAUUGCCUCCACCCUCUUUGACGCCCUAUCCCCGCCACACGCAGCUGCCUCGCCGGGGAUGACCUCGCGUCGGUGACAGUGGUCCAGUGCCCAAUCUGCUUCUCGGUCUGUGUUGACACUACUGAGGUCUACGGCGAGGCUACUCCCCUCAGCCAGCUUGACAAGCAAAAAUUUCUCAGUAGCCUCAAUUGGCAAUAUCACCACACUUCUAGGAGGAGGAAAGGCUGCUCCGCGGGCUUCGUAGGGAUCCCGGCGAGCUCGCCCCCGUGACUCCUGCUUCCUCUGUCACUUGAAUCAGGACCUAGCAUACAUAUUCAGACAGGAGGUCUACGGCGAGGCAGUGGUGCGGUCACAAGUUCCACCACUGAACGGGCUAACUGAGACCAUGGAAUGAUCAUGUCAUUUUGAAGGAUCGGCAAUGGUUGUAAGCAUCGGCAGAUUCGAUUCACCGAGAAGUUCUUCCUCGGUGACACUGUUGUCCACAAGGUUGUUUCUGGUUUUGAGAAGACAACAAGUUCUCAGCUUUUUUCUGAAGUUCUGAUGGAUGGCACAGUUAGUACUAUGGCAUUGCAAUGGGAUUAUUGAAGCACUGUAAUGAGCUGGUAAUAGUUUUUUUUCCAUCUUUGCAAGAGGAGGCAACCUAUGGAGAUGGUGGGACAUUUGUACUUAUCUUUUAGCCUUAAUAUGGACCUGAGUUCUCACUGUAGGGAGUGCAACAAUUCCCUGUAACCAAAAGUAUGAAGUGGACACAGUACAGUUCAAGAACAGGUUCUUCUCCACGAAAAUAAAUUGGCAAGGCUACCUUAGAGUUGGAAAAAAAAUCUGGGAUUGCAAGAGCAUUGCAAGGGAGAACUUCUGAAAAGGAAUUGUGAGUACAAAGAAGAGCUCACAACGAGUACAGACUUCUUGCAUUGCAUUAACAUAUGAUUUUUUUAAAAAAAAUCCUGCAAAAGGCUCCAGUUUUCCUCAUAUUUGUUGUAUUCUAUAGUUCAGACUUUUUGUGACCACGUUUUGAGGAUGGGUUAAGUUCCCAAGCACCUCAAUCUGAUGUUGUACAACCCUUGACACAACAUAAGCACCAGCUGUCUAUUUCUUUGGACAACACUGUGUCAAGCGAGUGGAGAUAUGGUAAUCACGGUGUGUGCAUGAAAGCCUCUUAGGUUAUCGUUAUCUUUAGUGCCCAUAUUAUUUGGCUUGGGCAACUAUAAGAAACUAAUCAGGAAAGGUAAGCAGCUUAUUCUGCACGGUCUUAACGAGGUUAUCCCGAGGUGGGCUUGCAACAGGAGAGAGGAUGGUACUAUUUCUUCCCACUCAUAGGAUCUGUCAUCUUUAUUUGUCUAGCGAAGGCUUUUUUUUAUCUACAGAAAGUACUGCAUAACAACCAUUUUUGUUGGUCUUGCCUUUGUUUGUUUCAUCUGUAUGAAAUUUGACUUAUAAAGCAUAACAUAUUGUGGUAUUGCCUAUGAUUUUACUUGCAAGGAAUAAAAUGUGCUCCGACAAUAGUAUCAAAUAUCAAA